rnacentral:lncRNA from 1 species
CCUGGAUGAGCAAUCACUUUCGGCAGCUUCUCUCCGGAAGUGCAGCCGCUAAGCACUUAUCAAAGGGAAACCAAAAACUUCCUGGAAUCUCGUUGAGUUGGAAACCCAGCAACGGAGCUGGGGGAUUUCACAACUGUGUGCGCCAAGAACAGCGGGAAGAGAUGCAAAUGGGGAGACGCUCGGCUGCAAUCCCAUCUCAGAAGGGAAGCCUGGUUUUAAUUUGACUGAAUAUCAUCAGAGCCGUACUUCAAGGGUCUUCUUCCACAGUCCCGGAGGACAACGUACCCUGCCAGGCCACCCCCAGCUCCUCUGCACAGAUGAGACCCCGGCACUUCAGACGGCAUUGCCCCCCAGCCGUGGAUCAGACCCGACCAUGCCCAGGGCCUUUUGGCUGCUGCUUCCCAGCCGGGAACACGCUGACCUCGUGAAGGAACACCUUGAGAAGCUGGACACCUUCAAGUCAGCCGGCCCUGACAACCUGCACCCCAGGGCACUCAAGGAGCUGGCGAGCGUCAUAGCCCAGCCCCUGGCACGGGUCUUUGAAAACUCCUGGCGCUCUGGUGUAGUGCCCGAAGACU